AACCUUAUCCUCCCGUCUGGAUCCAUUUCGCUCCCUGGUCGAUACCCUUUUCUCCUCACAUCGACUAGAGGUGAGCAGAGCUGCACCGGCCUUUCCCGUCACCCUCCCUUCGAUUCCUCGCGCGAGCGCCAUCUCCAACCCCUCCUCCACCUUCCCCAAGCUCUGGCCGCGCUCCUCUCCGGCUGAAGCAACCGGAAUCAGUCCCGCACCGCCUGGCCGCCAUUGGAGCUCUGCUCGAAGCUCCGACCCGCCCGUCGAUCCCCUUCCUCCGGCGGUCCCUCACCUGAUUGAGGCCGUGGAAUGUAUGCUUCUGGAUCGAAACUAUCAGAUGAUCCAGUAUGUAGUAUUCACCAACAUGGCUCAAAAGUGAAAUGUCAAGGUUUAGUUCUUGUAGAACGCUAUUGGGUUUAGCUUAUGUAUUAGUUCAGAUAAGAAGUGUUAGGAACCGCUGGAAAAUAAGGUAGCAGAAUAGAGGAGGCACUAUGAUGUAUGUAUGAGCACAGAUGUAUGCACAUAUGUAUGUGUGAUCAGAGGAUGAACUAUAUAUGAUGUAGAUUUGGCUUAUUUUUGUUAA